UACGGAGGGGGCUAGCGUUGUUCGGAAUUACUGGGCGUAAAGCGCGCGUAGGCGGCUUUGUAAGUUAGAGGUGAAAGCCCGGAGCUCAACUCCGGAAUUGCCUUUAAGACUGCAUCGCUAGAAUCAUGGAGAGGUGAGUGGAAUUCCGAGUGUAGAGGUGAAAUUCGUAGAUAUUCGCAAGAACACCAGUGGCGAAGGCGGCUCACUGGCCCGGUACUGACGCUGAGGUGCGAAAGCGUGGGGAG
rnacentral:rRNA from 1 species